GCCAAAAUGAUGGAAUUGGUAGACAUGCUAGGUUUAGGUUCUAGUUCAAAGAGUAGGGGUUCAAGUCCCCUUUUUGGUA
rnacentral:tRNA from 1 species